CCAAUAGCGUAUAUUAAAGUUGUUGCAGUUAAAAAGCUCGUAGUUGAAUUUCGGGGUCAGUAGGUUGGUCGUGCCACUGGUACGUACUGGUCUCACUGAUUCCUCCUUCCUGAUGAACCGUAAUGCCAUUAAUUUGGUGUUGCGGGGAAACUGGACUGUUACUUUGAAAAAAUUAGAGUGUUUAAAGCAGGCUAACGCUUGAAUACAUUAGCAUGGAAUAAUGAAAUAGGACGUUCGAUCUUAUUUUGUUGGUUUCUAGGAUUGACGUAAUGAUUAAUAGGGAUAGUUGGGGGCAUUAGUAUUCAAUUGUCAGAGGUGAAAUUCUUGGAUUUAUUGAAGACUAACUACUGCGAAAGCAUUUGCCAAGGAUGUUUUCAUUAAUCAAGAACGAAAGUUAGGGGAUCGAAGACGAUCAGAUACCGUCGUAGUCUUAACCAUAAACUAUGCCGACUAGGGAUCGGAUGAUGUUAAUUUUUUAAUGACUCAUUCGGCGCCUUACG
rnacentral:rRNA from 1 species